rnacentral:rRNA from 1 species
GACGAACGCUGGCGGCGUGCUUAACACAUGCAAGUCGAACGGAAAGGCCCUGCUUUUGUGGGGUGCUCGAGUGGCGAACGGGUGAGUAAUACGUGAGUAACCUGCCCUUGACUUUGGGAUAACUUCAGGAAACUGGGGCUAAUACCGGAUAGGAGCUCCUGCUGCAUGGUGGGGGUUGGAAAGUUUCGGCGGUUGGGGAUGGACUCGCGGCUUAUCAGCUUGUUGGUGGGGUAGUGGCUUACCAAGGCUUUGACGGGUAGCCGGCCUGAGAGGGUGACCGGCCACAUUGGGACUGAGAUACGGCCAAGACUCCUACGGGAGGCAGCAGUGGGGAAUAUUGCACAAUGGGCGGAAGCCUGAUGCAGCAACGCCGCGUGCGGGAUGACGGCCUUCGGGUUGUAAACCGCUUUCGCCUGUGACGAAGCGUGAGUGACGGUAAUGGGUAAAGAAGCACCGGCUAACUACGUG